AACCUGGAAGAGUCCCAUAAUAGGACGAAACGACCGUCCAGUGU
rnacentral:hammerhead_ribozyme from 1 species